UAAAGACGCCAAUGAAAGGUUAUAACCCAGAUGGAAACAAGACUCCAAAUGCCAGUAAACCAAAGACAACUUGAGAUCAGAGACGGGGUUUUACCAUGCUGCUGCACACUGGUCUUGAACUCCUGGGCUCUAGUGAUCCACCUGCUCAGCUUCCCAAAGUAAUGGGAAUACAGGAAACAAAGACAAGUGAAGCAGCAAACUUGCCGAACAAUCUCUGCCACACCAUAUGCACUUCGUGAGUUAAAACUGGUGGAGUUAAAAUCUACUGGGGUAGAUGUGUGGUUAAUUGUAGACUAAAAAGUUUCUUUGUUGUUGUUUUAAGUUAGGAAAAUAAUGAGAGUGCUUUGAAUUCUCUGUGCAUUUCUUUUUUCCCUUAUUGCAUCAUAGACCUCCACUGCUGACCUUCAGGCUGGUCUAUUUAAAGAAACCUUUGCCCCGAUGAUUUUGGAGGUGGUCUCUUGGCCCUCUGUCCUUCUCUGGAAUAAGAACUAACCUGAACAACAGUAACAACAAUACAAACAGCUAUGAAGAUUAUGUAUAGCUGGAGGCUACAAGCAGGUAAGGUGUG
rnacentral:lncRNA from 10 species